GACGAACGCUGGCGGCGUGCUUAACACAUGCAAGUCGAACGGUAAGGCCCUUCGGGGUACACGAGUGGCGAACGGGUGAGUAACACGUGGGUGAUCUGCCCUGCACUUCGGGAUAAGCCUGGGAAACUGGGUCUAAUACCGGAUAGGACCCUGGGAUGCAUGUCCUGGGGUGGAAAGCUUUUGCGGUGUGGGAUGGGCCCGCGGCCUAUCAGCUUGUUGGUGGGGUGAUGGCCUACCAAGGCGACGACGGGUAGCCGGCCUGAGAGGGUGACCGGCCACAGUGGGACUGAGAUACGGCCCAGACUCCUACGGGAGGCAGCAGUGGGGAAUAUUGCACAAUGGGAGCAAGGCUGAUGCAGCGACGCCGCGUGAGGGAUGACGGCCUUCGGGUUGUAAACCUCUUUCAGCACCGACGAAGCGCAAGUGACGGUAGGUGCAGAAGAAGGACCGGCCAACUACGUGCCAGCCGCCGCGGUAA
rnacentral:rRNA from 1 species